GUGAGAGAAAGAAUGUUAAUCUUCCAGGGGUCGUUGUGGAUCUCCCAACCUCAACAGAAAAAGACAAAGAAGAUAUUAUCAAUUGGGGGAUUCCAAACAAGAUUGACAUGAUUGCUCUGUCUUUUGUUCGAAAAGGUUCAGACCUAGUGGAGGUAUGCAAGCUCCUUUGGAAAGCAUGAUAAGAACAUCCUUCUCAUGUUAAAGGGUAUUCCUACUAAGGAGAUAGUUGAAGACAAGAAUUUGGAGUUUGCUACUAAGUGGGAUAGAAGAACAAAUCUUGUUUACACAGGACAUGAUAUUGAUGAAGUUCGAGCUGAACGGGCGAAGCAUGUUUUGAAGUUUCCACAAAUGUAGUGCACACAAAGAGGGUCUAUGGUAUAUGCAUAGUUAGGGUCAACUGUGAUUUUGUGCAUAUUGACAUUGCAUGCAUAGCUAGA